rnacentral:rRNA from 1 species
ACAUGCCUAUAGCAUAGCGUUAAUGCAAUGAAUCCCAUUAGAACUCUACAUUUAAGCGUACUCAGGCUAGAGUAGUACUGGGAUGGGUGACCACCCGAGAAGUCCUAGUGUUUUACAUGGC